rnacentral:lncRNA from 1 species
GCGUAUCCCUCUGUAAACGUUCUUCCUCCUCCGUUUCUCCGUCGCAGGCUCCCUCUUAUUCACCACCGCCUCAUCUUUCAACGCCACUUCUAAAGUUUAAAGGUGCAAGAUUACAUAUACAGCAAAGUUCCACAAUAAACUAAAUAAUUAUUUUACAUAAUCUUUUAUCAUCAUUACUCAUGCAGCUUCUAGAAAAUAAUUCUUCCUUUUUAAUUUACUGAAAAUAUCUUUAAUUACUCCAACUAUUUAAUUUUCUUAGAUAUUCAUAUUACUAAAUAUUUUCUUGCAUGAUUAAUUUUAAUAUUACCUUCUUGGUUGGUGGACUGAAGCUUGGAGGUGGGAUGGAAACCCCAUAAAUAGUCGCCGGCGGAAGCAUCGAGCUCAGACCAGAGUUCCUCCGCCGUGAGUUUCCUACCCUUGGCCUUGGUGAGGAUAGGAACAAAAUCGGAAAUGA